rnacentral:rRNA from 1 species
UACGUAGGGUCCGAGCGUUGUCCGGAAUUAUUGGGCGUAAAGGGCUCGUAGGCGGUUUGUCGCGUCGGGAGUGAAAACACGGGGCUUAACCCCGUGCCUGCUUCCGAUACGGGCAGACUAGAGGUAUGCAGGGGAGAAUGGAAUUCCUGGUGUAGCGGUGAAAUGCGCAGAUAUCAGGAGGAACACCGGUGGCGAAGGCGGUUCUCUGGGCAUUACCUGACGCUGAGGAGCGAAAGCGUGGGGAGCGAACAGG